UACGGAGGGUGCGAGCGUUGUUCGAAAUUACUGGGCUUAAAGCGCGUGUAGGCGGGAAGGCAAGUGUCGGGUGAAAUCCCUCGGCUCAACCGAGGAACCGUCCGGCAAACUGCUUUUCUUGAGGCAGGGAGAGGUGACUGGAACGACGGGUGGAGCGGUGAAAUGCGUAGAUAUCCGUUGGAACGCCGGAGGCGAAAGCGGGUCGCUGGCCCUGUCCUGACGCUGAGACGCGAAAGCGUGGGGAGCGAACAGG
rnacentral:rRNA from 1 species